rnacentral:rRNA from 1 species
UACGUAGGGUGCAAGCGUUAAUCGGAAUUACUGGGCGUAAAGCGUGCGCAGGCGGUUUUGUAAGUCAGAGGUGAAAUCCCCGGGCUCAACCUGGGAACUGCCUUUGUGACUGCAAGGCUUGAGUGCGGCAGAGGGGGAUGGAAUUCCGCGUGUAGCAGUGAAAUGCGUAGAUAUGCGGAGGAACACCGAUGGCGAAGGCAAUCCCCUGGGCCUGCACUGACGCUCAUGCACGAAAGCGUGGGGAGCAAACAGG